rnacentral:rRNA from 1 species
UGGCCGUAAACGAUGUGGACUUGGUGUUGGAAUGGCUCCGAGCUGCUCCAGUGCCGAAGGGAAGCUGUUAAGUCCACCGCCUGGGAAGUACGGUCGCAAGACUGAAACUUAAAGGAAUUGGCGGGGAGGCACCACAACGCGUGGAGCCUGCGGUUUAAUUUGGACUCAACGCCGGAAACUACACCGGGGGCGGACAGCAAUAUGUAGGUCAAGCUAAAGACUUUACCAGAAUCGCUGAGAGGAGGUGCAUGGCGUAGUCGUGU